rnacentral:rRNA from 1 species
GACGAACGCUGGCGGCGUGCUUAACACAUGCAAGUCGAACGGAAAGGCCCUGCUUUUGUGGGUUGCUCGGGUGGCGAACGGGUUAGUAACACGUGAGUAACCUCCCCUUGACUUUGGGAUAACUUCAGGAAACUGGUGCUAAUACCGGCUAGGAGCUCCUGCUGCAUGGUGGGGGUUGGAAAGUUUCGGCGGUUGGGGAUGGACUCUCGGCUUAUCAGCUUGUUGGUGGGGUAGUGGCUUACCAAGGCUUUGGCGGGUCGCCGCCCUGAGAGGGGGACCGCGGACAUAGGGAGAGAGAGACAGGGCAGACACUCAUGGGAGGCAGAAGAGGGGAAAAUAGUAGAAUGGGCGGAAGACUGAGGCAGAAAAGUUGCGUGCGGGAGAAGGGGGUUUGGGGAGUAAACAGCGCUCGCAGGAGAGGAAAAGAGAGUGACGGUAAUGGGUAAAGAAGCAACGGCUAACUACGUG